CUAAAUAGCCAAUAACAUUUCCCAUCGGUGGAUUUUUUAAAUGAAGCGAAAACAAAAGCGGUGGCAAUUUCGCAAUUUUGCCUAAACUUCUCUUAACCAAUAGAAAAUGUUUUUUGUAGAUCUCAGAUCCCCUUUCUCUUAACCCUUCUGCUAAUAAUCUCACUCAUUGAAAGCCAUUGUUCUCACUCCUCAAAUCGUCGUCGUUCUCAACGUUUCAUCCAAUUGUGAUGUUGUUUUCACUCAAUCGAUGUCGUUCUCGCCGUUUCUCGUAUGGGUUCUCGUUGUCAGUGGAAGAAAAGCUCUUCUCCGGUUCUGAAAAUAUGGGUUUUCACUACAAGUAAGAAUUUAUAGUUGAUGGAUGCAUGUUUCUGGUGGUGUUCAACUUCAAAGGGCCUCAAUGGGUUAAAAUGGCACACAAUAGUUAAAAUGUUUAAGUACAAUGACACACUUGCUGUAUAAUGAUGAUGCAGUAGCAGCAAGGUGAAAAGACUCUUGGAGUCCACUUAAAUCAACAAAAAGAAGGAGAAAAGUGUGCAAGAGACAUAAAUGUGGAGUAAAAGGAGCUGAGGGUUCAAAAUGGUUGAAACAUUAUUGUAGUGAUCAUCAAAUACUGCUUGUGGAUGAGAGUGAUUUCUCCUUCUCCCUUUGCAUAUCCAAAUUAAGCUUUUGCUUCUACUGCCAACAUUUUGUCUUCUUCACUUGACAACUAUUGCGAAAGAUGGGAUGUCAAACAAAAGCUUUUCAUUGUUGUGCUGGACAGGAGGACUAUUAAACUUCAAAUUUUGCAGGAAACGAUCAAACAAAGUUAACAAGAGAUUCAAUUGCAUGCUAGUGAACUUUUUAAGUUGAUGGAUUAAGUCUCCAAGUACAAAGAACAUGUAUAAGAACUAGAACUUGCAGAUAUAUUUACUUUUAGUAACAUCAGAUUUUGGAUAUGGUAAUGUGAUGUACUUCAAUUUUGAACUGUAGAUAAUUUGUGUUAUGCAUAAUGCAUGUUUGUUAAUCACAUGGGUAAGGACUAGAACUUACAAAUAUUUUUACUUUUAAUAACAAUUUAUUUUGGAUAAUUUAUGUUAUGCAUGAUUGUAUAUCAUAGUAAGAAAAAUUUUGGUUUUGGUAUGGUAUAAGAAAAAGAUUAGAUCUCAUAUGGUAAUGCAGUUAAAAAAAUAGCUUAAAUAUUGAUUUUUUAUAAAUAAAAAAAGUAAGAUUUCACAUCAGUUAAGCCUGAUGCAGAUGGGAAAAAUAUAUUUUUUUUUAUUUCAAAAAUAUGGAUUUCCCAUCGGUGGAUACAUUAUUGCCGUAGUGAAAACCCCCAUGUGCUGCUCUUAACGACGCUUAUCACAUCAGUGCUAAAUAACCCGAUGUGC
rnacentral:lncRNA from 1 species